AAGAACUGGAAAAGAUGGGAGAAUCAAGAUGAGGGAGGGGUAAAUUCCCAGACUCGGGCAGCCAUAUUGUGAAAGACCAUAUUGAAGGCCAGUGUCAGAAUUUGGUGGUCAAAGCUGAAGUUUGCUGAACCUGCCAGAAAUGAUGCUCGGUUUGGAGAAGCAACCAUGUAAGCACCAUAUGGCAUGUCAAAACAGGAAGUGGGAAGGGGGAAACCAUAGGAGGGAUGUUUCUGGUGACAGUAUUGAAAGUGGUGCCAACAAAAUUGUGGAAUUAUGGAGCAACCCCCCCCCCCCCCCCAGUGAUGGUGCUGUGAUUGUAGCAACAACUGGGGUAAAUAGAGCCAAUAGGAAAUAGGAAAUACCCUGGGAUGACAUCUAGCCAACAGGCUGCAAUGUUGCUGACCCUUUUAGAUUUCAAGAGUGGAACCCAGUGUGCACAUGGAUUAAUUUUUUGUUUAAAAAAUAAUUAAAAAAUUGCAAGUGGAAAGUUGUGGGCUGCCCUGUAGCACAUAUUUAUGUCCAAGGCAAUACCCAAAGUGCUUCAGAAGCAUUCAAUGGGAGUAGAUGGGGGAAGAAGGCAAUUGGCUGCAUUCCAAUGCUGUCAACUCGAAUUUAAUUUAUGGUCACUCUAUGAAUGAGAGAUUUCUAAGGUGCAUCUAUACUGUAGACGUAAUGCAGUUUGAUAGCACUUUAACUGUCAUGGCUUAAUACUAUGGAAAAACCAUUCAUUUUAAGUCCUUUGUUGGACACCGUGUUUUCCUUUCAUCUUUUUGCUGUUUUUUAUUUGUACUUAUUUCAAUUUUCUUAUUGUGGUAUUACAAGAAUUUAAAUAAUUUCAUUGUUUGAAUAUGUGAGAAGGAACUUUGCUAAGACUGUGAAGAUGUUCUACAAAUAUUUUAAAAUGUAUAAAUAAUACAUUACAUGGUGUAGGGAAACCAUUCUUCUUUUUUAGAGAAGGAAGUACACCUGCAUGAAUCUGAAAUUUUGAAAUAUGGGUAGAGUAGACUGGAGGAUUCCUAGAAUUAUGUUUUUCUUUCCAUUUCUUUGACCUUGUUGGGAGAAAAGCAGUUGGGGGCGAUUUUAAGUCUACCCAACUAUGCACAGAGUAGACUGGAGGAUUCCUAGAAUUAUGUUUUUCUUUCCAUUUCUUUGACCUUGCUGGGAGAAAAGCAGUUGGGGGCGAUUUUAAGUCUACCCAACUAUGCACAAAAUGCUAUGUUUCCGUUUUCAUGAAUGCCUUUUCUGGGAUGAAAAACAUUGUGGAACUACAUUAAACACUGCUCUGAAUAUUUUUAUAGAGAGGAAAUUUUCUUGGAUAACUGAUUCCUACCCAUUCUAAAGGCAAGACUGAAUUUUAAAGUUGUGGGUCGGCAGUAAACAUUCCUUCCAUCAUGACAGUUUAUGGAAGUAAGCUGCAAUUUUCAUCAUCUCACCAUUUCCAUUUCUCUUGGAAGCAAAAUACUACAUUGGGAUGUUGUAUACUACAUUUCUUUACAUGUUUCUCAAAAGAUUAUUUUAACACUGUCUCUGCUACAGUAGGCAAGUGAAAAUAUGGAGUGGUGCUCAGCACACAUUUAAAAUGUUUUUAAUAGGGAAUAAUUGGGUCUAACCAAUUUGAUGAAACCAGGAUCAGCUACAUUUCAUUGUGCAAAACCAAAAGAUCAACAGUUCUUAAUAUGAACAUUAAAGGUUGCUUGAUAUUUAAAAAGACCAAUUACUACGAACUAAAAUAGGAACAUGAAAGUUCAUACUUGGAAAAACCCACACUGAAUUGAACAUGUUAUUCUGCGAAUAUAAUUGGGUUUAGCAUUUGCAUUCAUCAAUUUAAGCUCAUUUAAACUCAGUUACAUGAAAUACUACAUUCCUAUUUUUAACACUCAUCAAAUCCUCAUAAGCUUUAUGUGAAUGCUUUGUUACAUAGAACAAUGAAGUGAAGAGCAUGUAAUUUUUUCCAGUUUGGUACCUAUGUCACCCUGAGUAAAAUCCUAUGCUACAUGACUGGAAUCUACUUGUGUGAUGUGAUCUUCUUCUGUCGCUUUUACAACCUUUUGGUCAUGGCAAAAAUCUAGGUGAAAUCACUUCUCUCCAUAUUCUGUUGAUGGAGGCCACAGUAGUAGUCGGAUGUAGUGGGAUUCUAGCCAUUACCUCUUGAAGUCCAAACACUCUCAUUGAAGUUUAAGUAUGCCGAAAAUCAUUAUAUGAUGGAACCUGUUUUUAAGAAGGUACAUUCUGUGGUUUCUUUCUGUUAAUGGAAUGUGUCUUGGAGCUGUCAGAUCCUUCUCCUUUUCCUUUUGCUAGUGCAGCCAUGAGGAAGAGACUAGAAGUUUCCAAUGCUGAUUUUAAUGGCUACAGUUUGUAUGGACCCAGAUAAACUACAGUUAGUUUAAAUUAUGGUUUCUAAAACAAGUUGAUCUUAAACUUUGACUUAACCAUAGUUCAAGUUCAAAUGUAACACUAAUGUUAACUGAAAAUAAAAGCAAAAUAUUCCAAUCUGCUUGGAAAAUAUGUCUAAGGAGGAGGAAAGUAGAAUGAAGAAAUGAGCCAUACAUGAACAUUAAGCUCUUUCUCAUUACAAUAAACCAUAAUGUACUAUUAGAACUAAAUGCAGUCAAAGAAGAAAGAAAGACAGACAGAAAGAGAAAUUAAUUUAUGUUAUUUGAGAUGAUAACCAAGGGUGCCAUUAUGGGUUUCAAUAGGAUUGGGACAUGUCUCAGAGCAAAUUUCUAUGACCUGUACCUAGAUAUAAGUAAUUUUAUUUUGGAACACAGCCCAACAUUAAAAUAAUGCUGUGGUUACUUUUCAGAUAUUUCAUAAUAAUCGAAAACAUAGGGGCUAGUCUUGGACUAUAGCUAAAUGUUAUUUCAACCCAUCCCACCACAGGUUCAUCCCAGAAGGCAAGAGAAAACAAGAAGAGUGUUCUACAUAUGAGUUUUGUUCUCUUAUGAGCAAAAUGGUUUAUUUCACCCAUCAGCAGUUAUUGGAACCUCUUAUUUCACUUAGCAUAUCUCCUGCUGUACACGCUCUGUAAUAGGCUGGGAUGACUUUUGGAAUUCUGUUUGCUUAAUUUAAGUUUUUUAAAGUGGUAAUAAAUGUAUAGCAGCUAGUAUAUUAUGAAUAUCAACACAUGCUAGCUCCAGGCCUAGAGCUGGCCUAAUUAUAAAGUGUGAUAAGAGUGAAAGCAUGAGUGAAAAUGAAGGCGAAUGACCAGUGUGUAAUAACUCCGACAGUAUAGGUUUAUGCCAGCAGAAUGCCUGCACAAUUGUAAUUAAGAAAGGAGGCUAUCUCCUCGCUUGAAUGGAAAUGAAGUCCCUUGUAGAUAUACUAGCUGAGGCAAACAGGAAGCUUACAACUUCUGCUGGACCACAGGUGUGGCUAUAGGUAAGAUCUUUAUUUUGAUUGGAUUAGAUAACAGGAAGACAGUGAGAUUGACUGGCUAAAUGAAAACUGAAUCUUAUAUAAAACAGAACUCUUUUGAGCAGCAAGCACCAGCUUUUCCUCUCAGAAAACAGUUCUAUCUCUUAAGAUGCUGCUGCCGCCGCCGCCACAUACUCACUGAUAACCCUAAUUCCUACAUGUGGCAAGAUUUAAAUUUCUUGAUGAAUCUUUUUAUCUAAUACCCAACGGAAUGUUACUGUUGAAAUAAUGUUAAACAUAUGCUAGGGGAGGAAGCACUUAUGUUUCUAUAUAAUUCUAACAGAGAUUUAAGUUUGUUGUAAGAUUAUGCCUAGACAGAUUCAAGGUCUAUGCUGAGGACAGUGCAUUCAUUUGUGCUAUCAGUAUUACUAAAAUAACUAUAAAGCUGCAGUGUAUUCUCCUAUUAAUUUACAAAUAUACCAAGACUAAAGAAUACUUAAGGGGAAUAUAGAUGUUGUUCUGAUUAUAGGAUAGAACUGGGGUUUGCAGGCUUGGGAGACUAGGUGAUUAACAGGGCAACUCUCAAAGAACCUUCAAUCCGUUACAAAAUAUAGGGUGGAGGAGCCAAGCCAGUGGCAAGCCUGGCAAGAACCAUAGCAGCUAAUAUAGCCAUAAAAGAGAGGUUGGUGGAACUGAUUGCAGCUAAGAAGCUGCAAAAUCCUGCAUGGUCCUAAUCAGAAAGACUUAGGAAGCAUGGACAAGGGCCCUUCCCAAACCUCAUGACAUGAAAAGGCAUGAGAAGGUAACAAUUGCAAAUACAGUAGAGUCUCACUUAUCCAACAUAAACGGGCCGGCAGAAUGUUGGAUAAGCAAAUAUGUUGGAUAAUAAGGAGGCAUUAAGGAAAAGCCUAUUAAACAUCAAAUUAGGUUAUGAUUUUACAAACGAAGCACCAAAACAUCAUGUUAGACAACAAAUUUGGCAGAAAAAGUAGUUCAAUACGCAGUAAUGCUAUGUAGUAAUUACUGUAUUUAUGAAUUUAGCACCAAAAUAUCACGAUUAUUGAAAACAUUGACUACAAAAAUGCGUUGGAUAAUCCAGAACGUUGGGUAAGUGAGAAUCUACUGUAAUGUCCUUGUCUUAUACAAACAGGGCUUUUUGACUGCUUUUUGUAGAAUUGCAAAUAGAAUCCUGCUAAAAGUGGCUUCAUCAUCUUUGAAAUGAGAAAUGGUGAAUUGUUGAUGGGAAAUAACAUGAUACUCUACAGAGGUGGCAUAGAGGAACCAAUCUAUGUCCACAUGGUUAUAUAUAACCGAGGUGAUG
rnacentral:lncRNA from 1 species